AUGGUUAUUUUAUGCAGCGUACGACAGCGAGCCUUAACUUUAAUUAUUUCUAUUUUUCAGCAAGGAUGGAAAGAACGACUCGGCAUCUGAAACAUAAACUGGAGGAAAUGGGCGUUUCUGACGUUGAAAGAUUUUGGUUGAAGAAUCAGCCCAUGACUGUUAUUUCUCAUUUAAUGCGAGAACUUGGAGUAACUUCGCAGGAUCUCCUGCUAUAUGCAACGGAAUUCCUACGUGUUGCCUGCUACGGGAGAAGCGAUGAACCUCCACGGCACGAGCUUGUUCAGAAAACCUGUGGUUUCAUCAGACAGUUAAAUGCCC